GAUGAAGAACGCAGCGAAAUGCGAUAAGUAAUGUGAAUUGCAGAAUUCAGUGAAUCAUCGAGUCUUUGAACGCACAUUGCGCCCCCUGGUAUUCCGGGGGGCAUGCCUGUCCGAGCGUCAUUGCUGCCCUCAAGCACGGCUUGUGUGUUGGGCUCUCGCCCCCCGCUUCCGGGGGGCGGGCCCGAAAGGCAGCGGCGGCACCGCGUCCGGUCCUCGAGCGUAUGGGGCUUCGUCACCCGCUCUGUAGGCCCGGCCGGCGCCCGCCGGCGAACACCAUCAAUCUUAACCAGGUUGACCUCGGAUCAGGUAGGGAUACCCGCUGAACUUAAGCAUAUCAAUAAGCGGAGGA
rnacentral:misc_RNA from 1 species